GCAAACUUGGUCAUUUAGAGGAAGUAAAAGUCGUAACAAGGUCUCCGUAGGUGAACCUGCGGAGGGAUCAUUACAGAGUUAAUAACUCCUAAAUCCACUGUGAAUUUAUUCGCGUUUUACUGUUCUUUUGGCAGGCGGUCCCUGGGAGGGGUCUUUAAGCCAGAUUUGGCGUCUGCCAAAAGGAUAAAACUCUGGUAUAAAUAGUAAUCUGAGUUUUUAUAAAUAAAGUCAAAACUUUCAACAACGGAUCUCUUGGUUCUGGCAUCGAUGAAGAACGCAGC
rnacentral:misc_RNA from 1 species